ACAGCUGAGUGGGCUCAGAAGGACGGUGGAACGAUGUGGGAGUGCCGUGUGUGUGUGUGCACAUCUUAAUAAUACCGCGUGUCCUUUUCCUGGCUCUUCUUGUGGGCCCCCCCUCCGCGUGUUCACUACUUCCCACUCUCCCUCGUCACUUUCACGCCCUCCUCCCUACCUCCUCCCUCUCCCCUCAUUUUCCUCCUUCACUCCUUCACACCUUCACACCUUCACACCUUCACACCUUCACACCUUCACACCUUCACACCUUCACACCUUCACACCUUCACACCUUCACACCUUCACACCUUCACUCCUUCACACCUUCACACCUUCACACCUUCACACCUUCACACCUUCACACCUUCACACCUUCACACCUUCAC
rnacentral:lncRNA from 1 species